rnacentral:rRNA from 1 species
GAUUGAACGCUGGCGGCAGGCCUAACACAUGCAAGUCGAGCGGAAACGAGUUAUCUGAACCUUCGGGGGACGAUAACGGCGUCGAGCGGCGGACGGGUGAGUAAUGCCUAGGAAAUUGCCCUGAUGUGGGGGAUAACCAUUGGAAACGAUGGCUAAUACCGCAUAAUAGCCUACGGGCCUAAAGAGGGGGACCUUCGGGCCUCUCGCGUCAGGAUAUGCCUAGGUGGGAUUAGCUAGUUGGUGAGGUAAGGGCUCACCAAGGCGACGAUCCCUAGCUGGUCUGAGAGGAUGAUCAGCCACACUGGAACUGAGACACGGUCCAGGACUCCUACGGGAGGCAGCAGUGGGGGAAUAUUGCACAAUGGGCGCAAGCCUGAUGCAGCCAUGCCGCGUGUGUGAAGAAGGGCCUUUCGGGUUGUAAAAGCGACUUUCAGUCGUGAGGAAGGAGUGUAGUAAUAGCUGCAUUACUUGACGUUAGCGACAGAAGAAG